CUAUAUGGAAACAUUUUCUUUAACAACGUUGUUUUCUUGGUGUUUUCUUCACAGACAACAGUCARUGGAGGACCAUGUCCACCUGGACAUUACUGUGUGGUGGGGAGCAGCAGAGCCCAGCCUUGCCCUGCAGGGAGUUAUAGUCCAACUUGGAGUAUGGCACAAUGUUUGGAGUGCCCAGAAGGCUUUUACUGCAAGACUGCUUCCACAAAUUACACGGAUUGCCCUGCAGGACACUACUGCCCCAGGAGUACAGAAUUUGCCACACAGUACCCUUGUCCCCCUGGAACCUACAGUGAAGCUUUAAAUAUCUGGGAUGUCUCCAAGUGCCAGCUGUGUCCUCCUGGAAUGGUCUGUUCCAAGCCAGGCCUAGCGAGACCAGAUGGACUGUGCAUGCCUGGAUGGUUUUGUCCACCUGGAUCCACAUCAAGCAAACCAGUUUUUCCUGGAGGUCACUCUGGUGUGGCAACUGCAGCUUCUGGAUCAGUUGGGCUGUGCCAAGCAGGAACCUUUUGUCCUGCUGGUUCAUUUCUUCCUACUCCCUGCACUCCAGGUAGGAGAGGUGUAUUUUUCCACACGCACAUUCUGGGUUUUAUUUUUUACUCUUUUUUUUGGUACAUACUCUUUCCUCUUUUGUCAGGCUCAUUAAGCAAUCCCAGUCAUGUGCUAUGACUGUAUGAGGUCUGCUAUCUCUUAAAUGAGGGCCUUUUCUCUUGCCCCUGCUCCAGGUUUGUACUGUGCAACUGCAGAGCUGGCAGCUCCAUCAGGUCCCUGUGAGGCUGGCUUCUACUGCACGGGGAGCUCUGUGCUCCCCAAUCCCGUGGAUGGAGCAGUGGGGAACAUUUGUCCUCGAGGUCACUUCUGUCCUGCAGGGAGCUCUUCUCCAUCUUCUUGCCCUCCAGGURGGUUUGAUGGCAGCUGCUGGAUGCUGUUGUUU
rnacentral:lncRNA from 1 species